rnacentral:rRNA from 1 species
GGCCUGUUGAAAAUAAUUUAAGGUCUGACCUGCCCACUGAGGAAUUAAAUGGCCGCGGUAUAUUGACCGUGCAAAGGUAGCAUAAUCACUAGUUUUUUAAUUGAAAGCUUGAAUGAAAGGUUUGAUGAGAAAAGUUCUGUCUCUAUAAAAAUUAAUUAGAAUUUUAUUUUUAAGUUAAAAAGCUUAAAUUUAUAUAGAAGACGAGAAGACCCUAUAGAGUUUUAUAUAUAAAUAAUGUAUUAGAUUUUAAGAAUUUUAAAUUGUAAUUUUGUUUAUGUAUUUUAUUGGGGUGAUAGAAAAAUUUGUCAAACUUUUUUUUAUGUGAUACAUUGAUAUAUGAAUAAAUGAUCCUAAAGUUUAGAUUGAAAGAUUAAAUUACCUUAGGGAUAACAGCGUAAUUUUUUCUAGAGUUCUUAUCGAAAGAAAAGAUUGCGACCUCGAUGUUGGAUUAAAAUUAAUUAUUGGUGUAGAAGCUAGUAAAUUGGGUCUGUUCGACCUUUAAAAUUUUACAUGAUCUGAGUUUAGACCGGCGUGAG